GUCACACAAAAACGAAGCAGUAGUGUGGGCUAUACCUAAAGGGAUUUUACCAUCCAUCAGCUUUGUAGAAAUUCCAAAUAGUCAUCAGAGGGAAAAUAGAUAUCAUGUAAUUUGAUUAUUUAUUUUUUUUACUACCACCCAUUGAUUUUUUCCAGGUCUAAGGGAGAGGUAUAUAUAUACUGAGUCCAAACCAUGACAUUUCAUAAACUGAUUUUUCAGUCGUCAACUACUACACCUGUUUUGCAAAAUCUUCACCAAACCACACUAAAAUGCAUAGCACAGUUGGGUUUAUUUGUUUUUAUUUAAGCAUUGUUUGUUAUCUCCAAGGGGCUCCAACUGAGACGUCAGAAAAAAAGAAAUGGGAACAAAUGUCUACAGAUAUAAAACAACUGCUUCAAUGUAAAAAUUCAGAGAAUCUUGAAGACUACUACACUCCCGAAUAUGAGCCAAUGUGUGAAGCAACAGCUCUGAGAUGCUUUUCUUUGGAAUUGGAGACCUGGUUGCAAAACUACAUAGGCGAAAAUAGAAAUCAAGCUGAAAACCACGUUGAAUGUUUUCUAGACACUGCAGGUUACGUCGCUGAAGAAGCACAGAAUCAAUCCUGUAAUAAGACCUGUGAGGAGUAUGACACAAAGAAAUCCCAGCAGUUCCUACAUGCACUUGAAAAUUUUCUUCAAGAAAGUAUAAGUAAUAAGUAAAUUCAGCAAGCUGGAUUCUUGAUCUUGAGACAAGCAGAAAAAAGACUAAGCUGUAAUGCCAUUUUAAACCACACAAAAUGUGGAGUUAUAUAUUUUUUGUAUUUAUUAAAUGUAGAUCUUUUUAUAUUUGUAACAUCUGUUUAAAUAGCUGUGUUUGAAUGCAUUCUCACCUGAAUUAAACUUAAUAUUUAAGUUAAAUAAAUAUUUAAAACAUAUCUCAUAACCAUAAUAAUGAGUGACUGACAUAGGAUCAUAUCUGGUCCCAAUAGUAUAUCCCAGAGUAAUAUAAGGGCUUAGGUACUACUUGAAAUAUACCAUUAAGAUAUAAGCUGUAUGUUAUAGGAAAUAUGUAUAUAACACAUACAACCUGAAUUUAUUUAUGUAUUUAUUUAUUUAAACCAAUUGAAAUAUUUAUUGAUG